AUUGAACGCUGGCGGCAGGCCUAACACAUGCAAGUCGAGCGGCAGCGGGAGGAAGCUUGCUUCCUCGCCGGCGAGCGGCGGACGGGUGAGUAAUGUCUGGGAAACUGCCCGAUGGAGGGGGAUAACUACUGGAAACGGUAGCUAAUACCGCAUAACGUCUACGGACCAAAGUGGGGGACCUUCGGGCCUCACACCAUCGGAUGUGCCCAGAUGGGAUUAGCUGGUAGGUGGGGUAAUGGCUCACCUAGGCGACGAUCCCUAGCUGGUCUGAGAGGAUGACCAGCCACACUGGAACUGAGACACGGUCCAGACUCCUACGGGAGGCAGCAGUGGGGAAUAUUGCACAAUGGGCGCAAGCCUGAUGCAGCCAUGCCGCGUGUGUGAAGAAGGCCUUCGGGUUGUAAAGCACUUUCAGCGAGGAGGAAGGCGUUGUAGUUAAUAACUGCAGCGAUUGACGUUACUCGCAGAAGAAGCACCGGCUAACUCCGUGCCAGCCGCCGCCGUAACAC
rnacentral:rRNA from 1 species